AUGGACUCUAAUAGAGCCCCUGGACCAGAUAAUAUCCCUGCCGACUUUUAUCAGGCAUGCUGGGAGAUUGUCAAGGACCAUAUUAUGUCCUUGUUCAAGCACUUCCAUAAUGGGACACUGGAUGUCCAGCGUCUCAACUAUGGCGUUAUCACCCUCCUUCCCAAGAUAUCCGGGGCUGGCAGGAUUCAACAAUUCCGGCCUAUUUGCCUGUUGCACUGUCCAAAUAAGCUGUUAACUAAGGUGUUAGAUCGUCAGGUAGCUAAGUAUGCCGACAAGUUAAUUAGCCCUACCCAGAAUGGCACAAUGCCUUUGUUAAAGGAAGAAAUAUCAUGGAUGAACUCAUGA
rnacentral:rRNA from 1 species